GCAGUAAAUUUUCAGUAAAUACCCCUUUCAAAUAAUAAAUGUUAUUGCUCAAAUUAAAUGAUGGACCAGUCCAUUUAAAAAAAAAUUAGCAGAGUAAAGUUUAAAAUAGAGAUAUUAAUAUUUGAAAGCAUUCAACAACAUACCUCUUUAUGAAUCUCAUAAUGACUGAUAAUCAUUAUUAUUAUGAAGAGGAUAUUGAAGUGGUUGGCAAUAUGUUUCAUGAAAAGGGAGACAUUGGUAAUUGUUAAAAUUUCUUCAUUGGUCAGAAAUACACAGCUGUUGUUUGUUAUCAGUAGAAAUGCAUAAAAAAGUUAAGGUAUUACUAUCCGACCAGGGAUACCUGACAGUGACGUCAUAUUGUGUUUACUUCCAAUGUUUACCUUAUAUUGUACUGGAUUAUCAUUAUAUUUCUUUACCUACAGCCUGCAUGGAUACGUAGCCCAGAGGAUAACGGCGUUGUCGUAGUAACCGAAAGGUUUCCAUGUUGUCUGCUGUUGGAAGAACAUCUCUGAGGGACUGUAAAUAGAAUCUUUAUCUUCUGCUUAUAUACAACAUUUACUCAUAGGCCUGUGGCACAAUUUCUAGUUGUACAAGGAUAUCAUGGUGUUUGAUAUGUUGAUGACAAUGAAACUAAUGACCAUGUUAACAUCAGUGGAAAAGUAAACUGGGAGAAGAAACGACAACAUCAUUUUCCAUCUUGAAGGCCUUAUACAGAAUUGCUAAGGGAACAACAAGUUUGAAAGUUCUUGCCAGUCUCUUCAAAUAUUCAUAUGACUAGGAAGGGGAACCUAGGAGUGGGAGAAGUGCCUGUGACUGAUAUGCACUGUCAGAUAGAAAUCCAGUUCAAAUGGGAAUCUGAAAUAGUGACAUAGCAGAAAUCAUGAAUUACAUACUGUAUAGUCUGCUCUAAAACACAAACAUUUAAAUUUAAAAUGUGUUAAAUGCAAAACAGUUUUACUUACAAAAUGAAUCUUUCAGUAAUUUCUAAGUGCAGCUGAAAAGGAGUGUAUAUCAAAAUCCCCUUGAUCAAAACCCCUCCACUGAAA
rnacentral:lncRNA from 1 species